rnacentral:rRNA from 1 species
GACGAACGCUGGCGGCGUGCUUAACACAUGCAAGUGGAGCGACGGACCGGGCUUCGGCCCGGGGCAAAGCCGCGAACGGGUGAGUAACACGUGGGUAACCUGCCCCGAUGACCGGGACAACCCGAGGAAACUCGGGCUAAUACCGGAUGUGCUCGCGUCUUUUAAGGGAUGUGAGGAAAGGAAGCUUCGGCCUCCGCAUUGGGAUGGGCCCGCGGCGCAUUAGCUUGUUGGUGGGGUAAUGGCCUACCAAGGCGACGAUGCGUAGCUGGUCUGGAAGGACGAUCCGCCACACUGGGACUGAGACACGGCCCAGACUCCUACGGGAGGCAGCAGUGGGGAAUCUUGCGCAAUGCACGAAAGUGUGACGCAGCAACGCCGCGUGAGGGAAGACGGCCUUCGGGUUGUAAACCUCUUUCAGUUGGGACGAAGCCUCGUCGGUGAAUAGCCGGCUGGGGUGACGGUACCUUCAGAAGAAGCCCCGGCUAACUACGUGCCAGCAGCCGCCGUAAUAC